rnacentral:rRNA from 1 species
AAUUUAAUUAUUAUAAUUGUUGAUUGUUUUAUUUUAUUAAUAAAAGUAAUUUUAAAAAUAAUAAUUUUUAGUAUAUAUUAUAGAAAAAAUGUAAUUAAUUAUAGAUAAUUAGUAUUGUAAAAGAUUUAUGAAAUAUAUUUUUAUUUAAAAAAAGUAUAAUUAUUUUUUUUUACCUUGUGUAUCAGGGUUUAUUAAAUAAAAAUUAUUAAUUUUAAUUUUCCCGAUUUUAAGAGAGAGAUUAAAUAAUUUCAAUUAUUGUAAAAAAAAUAUUGAUAAUUAUUUAUUAGAAAUGAAAUGUUAUUCGUUCUUAAAUAUAUCUGGUUUAUUUAGAAAUAAAUUUAAUUUAUUUUAUUUAAUUUUAUUAAUUUAUUUUUUAAAAAAUUUAUAAAUUUAAUAAUAAAUAAUUAAAGGGAUAAGCUUUUAAUUAAAUUUCUAAAAUUUUUUUUUUAUUUAAAAUAUAUAGGUUUAGAAAUAUUCAUUUUUUAUAAUUUGUUAUAAUUAUUUUUAGUUUAAAUAUAAUUUAAAAUCAAUUUAGUUUAUUAUAAAUAAAUAAUUUUUAAUUUUUAAAAAUUAAUUAUAAUGGUAGAAUUAGUAUAUUUAUAUAUUUAAAUAAUAAAUAUUUAAAGAUAAUUAAAAGGAAUUCGGCAAAUAUUUUAUUCGCCUGUUUAACAAAAACAUGUCCUUUAGGAUAAUAAUUUAAGGUCUAAUCUGCCCACUGAUUAAUUAAAUGGCCGCAGUAAUUUGACUGUGCAAAGGUAGCAUAAUCAUUAGUUUUUUAAUUAAAAGCUUGUAUGAAUGAUUGGACGAGAUAAAAUCUGUCUCUUAAUUAAAAUUAGAAUUUAAUUUUUAAGUUAAAAAGCUUAAAUUUUUAUGAAAGACGAGAAGACCCUAUAGAUCUUAAUUUAUAUAUGUUAUAAUUUUUAUAAAGAUUAUUUUAUUAUUUAUAAUUUUAUAAAUUUUAUUGGGGUAAUAAAAAGAUUAGAGUAAUUCUUUUUUAAUUUUUACAAUUAUUAUUGAUUAUAAGAUCCUCUAUUAGUGAUUAAAAGAUUAAGUUACCUUAGGGAUAACAGCGUAAUUUUUUUAAAGAGUUCAUAUCGAUAAAAAAGAUUGCGACCUCGAUGUUGGAUUAAAAGUAAUUUUAGGUGCAGAAGUCUGAAGUUUUGGUCUGUUCGACCAUUAAAUUUUUACAUGAUCUGAGUUCAAACCGGUGUAAGCCAGGUUGGUUUCUAUCUUCAUAUAUAUAAUUUAUUUUAGUACGAAAGGACCGGAUAUUUAAUAAAUUAUUUUUAUUUUUGAAUUAAAUUA